UUGAGACGACAAGCUUCCAUUCAUAAACAAUUUACAAUGUGACAUGGUGAUUUAAAUUAGCAGAGAGAGGGUGGAUGGGUUGGAACGGGCAGUAGGGUGCAAUGGGUCCUAAUAAUGAGGGGCAGGGGCAUCGUGAGAGGGGGUAUCUGUUUGAUGGUGUCUGUUUAAUGCAACAAAGAACACCAAAUCGGAAGAGGAUGCGGGAGGGUUCCGACAGCUUUUGACGCUUCCUUCCCUUUUCUCUAUUAAACCUGUUCAUGUUUUGGGAGUGUUUUUUAUGUUCUCUAAUUUUUCUUUAGUUUAUUGGAGGACAAGUGCCCAAGGUUAUAGGGGGUGGAAAAGUGACAAAAUAAGAAAAAAGGCAAGAAAAAAGGACACAUUACACAGUGAGAUGUCAAACGAGACACAGUACUUUAUUUGUCAAUGAAAGUGGCAGUUUUGUGAAAACUACUUUUGUAAAUAUAUUAACGGUUGCGUUGGGCUUUUCUGGAAUAUGUCGGUAAUUAAGAUUAUUUAAUUUAUAUUUUUCCUCCAGAAGUCAUAUCGGCUCCGACUACUACAAGACCUACCACAAUCCUCACCACUACUACUACUACUCAUACUCCUACUACUACUACGACUACACCUACGCCUGAGACGUCGAUGGCUCACCAGACCAACAUUACUUCAGCUUCUCUCACAACAACUCUACAAACAUCAAUGUCUUCUUCCGUCUCCUCAUCCGCCUCCUCAUUCUCUUCCUCCUUCUCUUCCUCCUCCUCCUUCUCCUCCUCCUCCUCCUCCUCAUCCACGUCUUACUCUCCUUCACCAUCAUCAUCUUCUUCUUCUUCAACUACUUCUGCGGUGAGACCAGUGGAGCCUUACAUUCCGUCAACCACAGCGCCCUCUCCAACGAACACAACGAUUGGCUUUAUUGAAGGAAACAUUAAUUGGCCGAAUACUACAGAACAACUUCCUUUACGACUUAACACGAUGGAUUUCAUGAUACCAACUGGAUCUAUUUUUGCAAUCGUCAUUAUUGCCAUUGUAGUUACCAUCUGUAUAAUAGU